rnacentral:piRNA from 1 species
UACCAAGUGAUUUACCCCCAGCACUCCCUGC